CAAGCCCUGGUUGACCAAUUUGCAAUUAAAUAUAUGUGUAUAGGGGUCUAUAAUCUUGCAAAACAGGUAACCCAACAAUGUUUAACCUGUCAAAGAAUAAAUAAACAACAAUUAAGAGAAAUACCAAUGGGCAGAAGGGAACUGGUACAACGACCCUUUUCACAUAUACAAAUAGAUUUUACAGAAUUACCAAAAGUGGGGAGGUAUAAAUAUUUAUUGGUACUGGUAGACCACUUAACCCAUUACGUGGAAGCUUAUCCUACGGCCCGAGCUACUUCGAACACUGUGGUAAAAGUAUUAUUAGAGCAAAUUAUCCCCCGGUAUGGAUUAAUUGAGUGUUUAGACUCAGACCGGGGACCCCAUUUCACCUCUAAAAUUGCAAAAGAUGUCCUGACAGAUUUGGGAACUCAAUGGAAAUAUCACACCCCAUAGCAUCCACAGAGCUCGGGAGGGAGGAAAGGAUGAAUGGAGAAGAAAAACAAAAAAACAAAAAAAAAAAAAAAAAAAAAAAAAAAAAAAAAAAAAAAAAAAAAAAAAAAAAAACAAAAAAAAAAAAAAACACACACCAAAAAAAAACCCCCAAAAAAACCUCACAAAGUUAAUGCUGGAAACAAAAAUGUCAUGGGUUAAGUGUCUACCUCUUGCCUUAUUGAACAUUCGAACUCAACCCCAAACUAAUGUGGGAAUCUCUCCAUUUGAAAUGUUAUUUAGAAUGCCCAAAGAUCACCCCUGCCUAAAAGAUUCUCAUAUUAAAUUUUACAUCACCCAAAUUAUGAGCAGAGGGCAAGAAUUGAGGAAGAAAGAAGUGUUGGCACAGAGACCACCAAUCCAUAAGAUAAAACCAGGAGAUCAAGUAUCACAGAAACGGCAGUCAAGACGGCCGAAAAGGGGUGGACUCACGCCAGCCGAGUGAAAGGCCCGGUUGCCACAAAUAACCAGUGAAGAGUGACUAGCCAGCCUGGGAACUUGAAAGUGACUCUUAAGAAAAACUAAUGAACUCUGUGGACAUCAUCCAAAUCAACCAUAAGGGGAAGCAAAGGGAUACAAUUACAAACUAGCUAAAGACUAUAUAGUGAUUUGUAACAAGGAAGGUUGUGGAGAUUGUUAUCCUUUUGUGUGCUUUAUAUGUAAAAUUUGCCAAGAACGGUGGUGGGUCCAUUGCCAGAGGGGAAGACCACCAAUUGGGGUUUGUACUGAGUGCUAUAAAACUCAGCGAAAACUAACUGAAACUGUGCUAAGGAUAGGAGAAUUGGAAAAUUGGUGGGUCAGUUUUGGAUCUGAGUGGUGGGAAAUAUUUACCAAGGGAGUAUACCCUGAGUAUUUUUGUUUUCAUACUAACGAGCCCACUCCAUUUGCUGCUCAGGUAAUAAAAGGGUGUUGUCGAAAGGAACUGAAGGGGAUUCCUUGCAACCCACUUCUGGUCAAAGAUAAGAACUGGGAACAGUACAAGGCUAGGCAGGAGCGGAAAAGGGGACGCUCAGGCGAGUACUGCUGCUGCCGAGAAGAUGGUUUACCUCGCGGCUCGAAGCACCCGAGUCGGCGAGCGAGGCAGAGAGGAAAAGGCCAAGCCCCCUCUAAGUGGAACAAUGCUGAAAUGCUCCAACUAUUGCCAGCCGAGUACUAGGAUCCCUCAAAGGACCAGUCUAAGUGCCUCCGAAACACCAAGGGAGCAGCAAGCCAAAAAGGGGAAAACAGGAUAUUACAAAACAAAAUCAAGGCUAGGACUCCACCCUUAUUGGCGAAUUAUUAGUUUUCUAUUGCUCUGUCCUAGUGGUGUUUCUAGUCAGGACAAUGCUAAACACUUUACUUCUAGCCUACGAAACAGCAAAGCGAUUUGAUGAACGAAAUGGUAAAAGAGAAAAUGGGGGAUUGUGAUAAACUGUGGUAACUUGUUUGUUCAUCAAAGGAAUUGGAAUAUUAAAGGAGGAAAAAUAAAAUUAAAGUAUGAGGGACUAGCUUGCUUGUUAGGAGAUAGGGGAAGCAUCUGUGAAGUUGGGAAACAGCAACUCGUGGGUUUUACUAAAAAAAGGACAAUAAAGAAGCAACUGCUACAAACCGCAAGGCUAUAGGCAUAUUGCAAGGCUAUAGACAUAUUGCAAAACGCAAGACCGCAAGUAUGAUUAAUCACCAUUUAGGGAGCUUUUCUUAGCUUCUCUUGCAGACACAGGCUAAGGAUGUUGGGGGAUGGCCGGAGCUGAUUAUGAAAUCAGCGACCACCAGGCAACAGCCACCGGACUAGACAACGUAGGAGUGCUCCGGGUACGCCCAUCAUUGUCCGGAACCGAUUGUGAAACCAACGAUCACCUGCCUCGACACAACGCAGACACGAUGCAGAGGGAUGCUCAAGCUACGCCCACCGCUAUGGCAAGAGACGCGAAUGAAGAAACCUCCAAGAAACUAUAAAAGAGACUGAAUAAGGGGGGUGGGGUGUGGGGCACUGCAGUGUGGGACACUGCAGGAGGGGCGGUUAGGAGACCCCUACCCACCCAGCGCUGUUUUGCUUGCUACUGCUUGCUGUAAUUAAUAAAAUUCUAAUUGACCUUCAAAAGGCUGAAUCAAAUUAUUCGCCUCAAUUUAUCACAGGGAGAAGGCUAAAGGGAGGGGAAAUAUAACAUUAACCAGUGGGGAAAAGGGAAAGGAGUGUUCUUGGUGGAAGAACUAAAGGGAAAACGUGGAACAGAGAAGAUUCUAGGCUAAGGGGCAGACUUGAACAAUAACUGACAAGACAGGGGGAGGGUACAAUUCUCCUACAAAAGGGGGUGGAGAAUUCAUACAACUGCUGUUUCCCAUGGCAACCCUAGACUGCCUUCCCCAACCCCUCCUCCUACACCAGUGACAGCUUUUCACACUGAAGGGCAGUGCUACUGUAUAACAAACACUUAACUCUUAGCCCAGCCGGGCUCGCUGGCUACUUUUGCAAGCUUUUUACCAACUAGCGAUGCUUGUAAGCGGUGCUUGUAACUCCUAGCUUGUACCACGCUGCCACUAGCUGCGCUAUCAGCUAGCGGCGUUCAAAGCAGCUCCUCAAACCGCGGCUUGUGCCCGCGCGCCCGCUGCGCUAUCAGCUGGGCUGCGCCUAAAGCACCUUUGCAAGCCCCGACUUAAGCCCCGCGCCGCGCUCCCCUCGCUCGCCAGGGACAGCCCGUGCCACGCAUGCGCCCCACCCGCUCUAUCAGGUAGAGUGGCUGCUAGCCGCCCCGAGCAUGCGCACUACCCGCACUAGCAGGUAGUGUGGGCUGAGAGCUGCCCUGCGCAUGCGCUCUCUAGCACUGCCGCGCCGCGUCUCUCUAUCUUAGCAACGCCGCACCGCGCAUCACUGUUCCACUCACACAUACACACACACGCACAAGCACGCACGUCCGGACGUAACAGACACACUACACUGCAAUCGGGACACACACCACACACUGAAAUCGCGAUUUCGCCCUCCCCGAGCCGCGCUAUCAGCUGGGGAGGUCCUCCCGCCGCCGGCCUCUCCCCCGAUGGCGGUCUGCUUGCAAGCCCCUAGGCAAACCUGCGCGCAAAAACAUCUUUUUGCGACUUAUCAGUGCCAACCUUAAGAAAAUAAAUUAAUACACACCGCUUUCAUCCGCUAGUCGACGGGCCGUGGUAUGCUCCCCGCAGUGUACAGCCGAGGCGCAGAGUCCCUCCGGGAAAAGCCCCGUGGCGCCUGAGGGUGUCUGCUCCCAACCGGACCUGCGGGUGAGCAGAGCAGUCCCUUCGUGGUCGCCAACUGAAACGAUACGCGGAAUAAAUCAAUAGAUUCCAUAACCUGGGUUAGUUAUGAAGUGGGUAUGUACGUCAGCGCCCGGGACAAGUGAGAUAGCUCUCCAAAACUUGUGCCCCGAGCCUCAGUCUGACCCACACUUUUAUUAAAGAUGUUCCAUAUGCAAUACACUGCACGACUUUUUCAUGCGUAUUCAACCCCUGGCCCCGCCUGUCCUCGCUUCCCAUGCUAAGUAAGUCCACGCCCUUCUGGGCAUGCGUGGUUUGCUGUGGUGGUCGUACGGGGGGUCUCUUGGUGGUCCUGAGGCUGAAGAUUAUGGUCUUCCUCAUGAUUGAACUUUUGAACUUUUCCUCUCUGCGCGUGCGCUUUUGGACCUUUGGUGCUUAUCUGAGUACGUCUGUCAGUCUUGAUAGGCUUAGAGACAGAGGAGCUUCUUUAUCUGGGUUCUUUGCUUCUUCUGGUAUUGUUCUUUAUGCAAAAAGCUUCAGAAAUUUGCAUUUUCCCUUGCCCUUUGUAUUAGGCAGAGGUUUCUUAAGUAAAAGGUUGAAAAUUCAACAGAUAACUCUACAAGCUAAAUUAGAAAUGCUUAAUUCAUUUUGUUAACCUAACUCUAAAAAUCUCUGUUUCACCUCGAGAGCUGUCACAGAGCAGAAGGGCAGCUGAGAUGCUGAAAAGCAGCAAAGCAGAACAGCCUGCCUCAGCUUCAGCAGUGUGCAAUUGACUGAAGGCAAAACACGAAGCAGCAGAGCAGCGGGCUUCUCUGCCACCGUGUUCUCUGCAUCUCGGAGCCUCUGGGGAGCAACAAGAAUUUCCAAGGUGGUGUAAGAGCCCGUCUGAAGCCCCUCAUUUUCCGUUCUGCCUUCCAAUUGCCACGAGAAAGAAUCCCUUCCUCCACUGCAGUUCCGGCUUAGAACAGGACACAGUGCAGGUGCAACCACUGAACCGUCAUGCUAGCUGUUCCGAACAAGGCCUGGCAAGAACUUGGCAAGGACUUGGCAAGAACUUGGCAAAGACCUGACGUGGACCCAGCACGGGACAGCCUGAUGCGCGGCCUGCUUCUAAUCUCCGUUCUUAAGCCAAAUGAACUUUUGGGGUGUCUCCCGGGGUCCUUCAUUGAAGACCCCUCAUCUGCCUCGUUACCACUGUGACAAACAAAGAAUGAGAACCCUCCUCCCAAGGACUGAGACUGAGACCCCUGCUACAGGGAGGAGGGGAAAUUGGUGGUCUGACCACUAAUGACAUGACCUGCUUCCCUUCAGUGAUUCAAAUGGACUCAUUCUUCAUUGUAUUCGUCUUGCUUUUGUGGUUUCUGUGGACUCAGCUGUUCCCGCGUGGCGAUUACAAUGGACUUUUGUUGUUACACUUGCUCCCCCCUCUUUCCUCUGUGGACUAUAACUGGAGCCCCGAGUCGACCAGAACUUCGGAGACUCCCCCGACACGACAGACGGAACCCCAUCGUCCGGACCACUGAGGAUCUCGCCUGUGUUGGUAGCUAUUCCCAUACCCCUCUUCUCUCUCUCUCUCUCUCCUUUUAUCUCCUUUCCGAUCCCCACUAUCGCAUUUACUGUUUUGGCCCCUAAUAAAGGUGCAUUUGUUGUGAUUAA